rnacentral:tRNA from 1 species
UCCCCAAAAGGGGUUGUUCUUUCCUCGGGUAUGUAGUUAUCCCGAUUGGUCGUAGGUUCGAAUCCUACUUGGGGAG